UUGCACACUGCCUGUGUGGUUGGGAGCAUUUUCUCCGCAGAGUAUUACCCUCCUUGAAAGAGAAUUUUGUAGUUUUUGGUCAAAAUAGACUUGAGAGGUCUUCCAGGAAAUUUUGAAGCCUUUCUCACAGACGACCUCUCUGUUUUCUUUGGGACCAUGGACUCAAGGAAAGUUUCCUUUUGGUUUUCUGAGAAAAGAAAUACAAUGAAAUAUCCUUUGUCCAUAGAGCCUAUGAAGCUUAGAUUCUCACACUGUUUUCUUUUCUCUAGACCAUGAUGAAGGAGGGGCCUACCAGCAGCGGUGUGUAUUCAGAGAUCAUCACUCCAGUGACGAACAAUCUGGGUGCAGUAGAAUGUGGGGCUUCCUUGCUGGCAUUGGUUGCAGAGCCUCCAGAUCCUGGGGUCCUUUUGGAAGGAGAGUUGGGGGUGUAGAGCAUGCAGCUUUUUGCCACACAUAGUGAUGCCCAAGAUGUCCAUGCCCUGGACACAAGUCUAUCAUGUUGAUGCCUUGGGUUGUUACAUGUUAUGAGGGACAGGGAGCGAGGUCCAUGUGUGAGCACAUGUGGUGUGUUUCCUCAUGAGAUAUUUCAUAUUUACACGGACAAGACAAUCAUCAAUUUUUCCUAACACAAUUUCCAUCCCCUCUGCAAGCUCGUCUACAUUCACGCAUUCUCCCAUCACCAGCGCUGUUCCCAAGUUGGCUUAAUUUUCCUGUUGCUCAGCUGGAGAUGGUGCAGAGCCACGUGGCCCAAGGUCUUGACUUCCUAUGUGGAAAAGCCAAAGGGGGACCCAGGCCGGGUUAUCCAUGGGGAUGCUCUGGACCCCUGACCUGCAGCUAUCCCUCGGCCAGGAUUUUGUCAGUAUGGAGCACUGAGGGGGGAAGGUCCCUGUUCCGUGUCUAUGCCCGGGAAUACCAGGGUCUCCAGAGGUCCUGUCGAUGCUGUGCAUUUUAAAAGGUCCCUGCCAGUGCUGCUGUCAUCACUUCAACAUGGCAAAAGCAGAUAAAUAUCAGAGAGGCAUAUUCUUAUAUCAGACAGUGUCACUGUCAUUCUCGCACUUGACCACCCUAGGUAGCACACACCCAGGUGAUGUUGCAAGUAAGAGCUCAGAGUUCACCCUCAUCCUUAGCCUGGUGUCCGGCACCAUUGUACAAACUCGCUGCCCAUCUGGGUGAGAAGGACUUGGUGCUCCCUCUGUGUUUCUCUCCAUGAAGUAAGUCCCUCUUGUUGUAAGACUCUUGUUAGUGUGGCUAUACAUUUAAUCAGGGCACAUGCUGCACACACCAUGUAGAAAAUGAAGCCUGGAGAACAACCAUGAUGUGAAUGAUAUGGCUGUUUUUAAUGGUAAGAUUUCAGUAUUGUCAGUUCGUCUAUAUUAAAUUAUCUUAAAGAGCAGUAUUUUGUGAAUCCAUUUAUUAGCAUGCUUUUCCUGGAAAUCAGCCUUCCAGUAAAGUUGUAAUUUUUUUAGUGUUUUUUAUUUUUUCCUUCAUAAGUGAGUAGAUAUUGUGUUCUGUGCUAUCCAGUGGGAUGUCAUUGCUUAUCCACUCCCAAUGCAAUUGCUUGCAUCUCUUAACCACAGAGUCCCAAUUGAGCGCAACAUAUAUUUCACAUAUAUUUGAUCACCAUCAUAGUUUCUAUGGAGUCAUAUCUUCUCAAGGUGUUUACCCAUUUUUAAAUUCAGCUAUUUGCCCACAGUCUUUGCUUUUCACUUUUUUGGUGUGUGUGUGCGCGUGUGUGUUUUGUUUUGUUUUGUUUUGUUUUAAUUGAGUGUUAGUUUCUUGUAUUUUUUGGAUAUGGGUCCCUUAUCCAGAAGCAAUAUUUGCAAGUAUUUCCUCCCACCCUAUAGAUUGCCUUUUCAUUCUGUUGAUUGUUGAAGAGACUGUACUUUUUUGACUGGGGAAUCUUAGAACCUGGGCAGUGAUCAUUUGGCCAUACAUGUGAGUUUAUUUUUAGGUCCUUCUCUUAUGGGUCAUUGGUCUGUCUUCCUGUUUAGAUUCCAGGGGUAGACGUUUUUGCUGCUGUGGCUUGGCAGUGUGUUUUGAAUCUGGGAAUUGAGACUUCUCCAUUGUUGUUCUUUGCUAUCAAGAGCAUCUUUUUAUUUGGGUUCUUUGGGGCUCUACAUGUAUUUUAAGAUUUUCUUUUCCAAGUCUCAAAAAAUGGCAUGAGAUUUUGUGAGUUGUUGCAGUAUAAUGUGUGCAUCAUUUUCAGUAGCAGAGAAAUGUCGACAUUAAACCAUCCAGUCUGUGAACAUGGCGUGUCAUUCCAAGCACUUGCACCUUCUUUAAUUUCUUUCAGCCAUGAUCUGUAGUUUUCAGUGUAUAAAUUGUUCACCCCGUAAGGGGGUGCCACUGCCUUCCUUGGGUCUUCCAGGCUCAGGGAUGAGAAGGAUGGGAUCAUGAAAAGAGUGAUGCAUCCCUCCCUCCCCUCUGCCCUUUCUCUCUGAUUUUGUCCAGCACCAGUGCCUUGGGCCAUGCUCCUCACUACUACCAAAAAGUGGGGCCCCCUGCUGGGAAUUCCUCCCAGGUCAGAGUGUUGACACUGCUGUUUGAGUGUCCCCAAGGACUCUCACAAUGCCUGGCAUGGGUCCAAGCACCCAAGAUAACCUGCAAAUGAAAGAUCCUCUCUGGUCAUCCAAAUUCUCUGAAUGAAGGAACAGUGAGGCGAGGGUGGUUGGUUGUCUCUUCUUCAUCUUGCAAGCUCUUAGAGCCACUCUGUCCACUGUGGUACCCACUAGCCAGAAGUGCCUGCUUAUAUUUAACUUAGUUCAAAUUGUGGUUAACUCAAUCAGUUAAGAAGAAGCAUACGUGUACACACACAAACAACACCCAAUGGUUUGAUCACACUAGCCAUAUUUCAAGUGUGCCUGUAAGUGUUGGAGUUUCUAGUGGGUCAGCUUGAAUGGGAGAGCUGUAAUGGACCUGUG
rnacentral:lncRNA from 1 species